rfam:Strigamia maritima strain Brora ctg7180000874365, whole genome shotgun sequence.
CUCGGCCUCUGCGGCCGCAAAAAAGCGGCGUGCGCGGACUUUCUCGGACGGGCGGAGCCCGGACCAGCGUCGGGGCCUUCCCGUGGAAUGCCUCAGCUGCGUGGCUCGGGGAAAUAAAAACGGGCGCGGUCGGCUGCUUGUCGCGGCGAACGUCGUUACCUCGCCCGUAAAACGGCGUGGGCGGCCAAGCCGUGGCUCGCUCCUUCCGUGCUCGUCCUCGGGCGCACUUCGUCCGGCGCCUAACAGCCGACUCAGAACUGGCACGGACCGGGGGAAUCCGACUGUCUAAUUAAAACAAAGCAUUGCGAUGGCCGAAGCUCGGUGUUGACGCAAUGUGAUUUCUGCCCAGUGCCCCGAAUGUCAAAGUGAAGAGAUUCGAUCAAGCGCGGGUAAACGGCGGGAGUAACUAUGACUCUCUUAAGGCCUUAAGAGAACGUGCGAGGCCGACGUUCGGAGCCGACAAGGCAGACACUGCGACCACGG